rnacentral:lncRNA from 1 species
CCGGCUGGCGCUGGUCCCCGCAGCUCAGCGGACUCAGUAGCGACCCGGGGCGCUCCGCCUGCUCCCCGGCUGCAUGCCUGCGAGCGCCUGGAGGAGCGAGCCUCAGGAGCGGCCGGCUGGCCAGUGCUUCCCGGGCGCAGGGCUCGGGCGGCGUAGCUUGCAGUUCCGAGACGCCUGCAGAGUAGGGCGGCCCGGGCUAACCUGCUGCCUCGCCCGGCCUGUCGCCGCCACCGCCACCGCUGAGCGCGGCGUCGCGAGAAAAGGAAACAAAAGCACAGAGAGGUUAACACUUUAUCCAAAGCCCCCGGCUAUCAAGAGUGAGCCUACAGCUUGAAGAUGAUCCUGAGCCUGUGAUGUAUCCUGCCUGGAGGCUUUGUGUGCACAUCCCAGAACAACUGCUCUCCAUCCCGCAGAGGGAUGUGCAUAACGUGGGCAUUUUCACCGCUGUAAUGAUGCCUGGGGACAGGGGAUAUGACAUUUAGUAGCCAAGAGACAAAGAUGCCAGCUGUCUCAAUGCAUAGACCCCUCCACAGUGACCAAGUGUCUUAUCUCCUGUAUGACUUCUCAGUGUGUUUCUGGACAUAUCACAAGCGGAAAACAAACAAACACCAAAGACCUCUGUAUACUGUUGGAGUUGAAAACCUAGCUCUAAGUUAGAUGGAUAAGGAAGUCAUUGGUGUACAUGGACUUCAUUUUCCAUGAAUGCAACUGCUAUAAAGACUGGUCCUUUGCUGGUUUAAAACUUCCAGGCAUUGGUGAGAUGGUUCAGCAGGAGCUUGCUGCCAAAGCCUAAGGUCCUGCAUUGGAUGCUCAGGACCCACUGAGUGGUAGGAGAGAACCGACUCCUUCAAGUGACUCUCUGAUCUCCACACAUGUCAUGACAAGCAUCUUAAACAUACAUAAAAAUUAAUUAAUUAAAAAACUUUUCCAGGAGUUGCUCACCAUUUCAGACAAUCCUAUUAGCUUCAGCACCUCAGCAGCUUAUAAACACAGCUGUGCAGCUUCAAGGCUGAAAUUCUCACACUCUUCAACAGCCCUCUGACUGUUUACAACUACACGCAUUGAGCCCCUGUUUCAAAGGGUCAUAUGGUUAAAGUUUCAAAACUGUUUAGUGAAUAUUAAGCUACUUCUCAUAUGUGUAAAUUCAUUCACCAACUCCUCCUCCCUCAUUGUUAAAGCCUAGGUUAUGUCCCUGGACUCACACGGUGUGACAAAGAGAGCAGGUUGCCCACUGAUCUCCACACAGGCUCUUCAGCGUGUGUGCACAAGUACGCAUACACAUACACACAUUAAUAAAUAUUAAUGCAAUCAUUUUGACAAAAAGAAAAUGUGAGGCUAAAACCCCUGUCUUUAAAAUUGUUCCUUUGCGUGUAGUUCAGUGAACUCUGAGCCCUUCCUGGUGAUCUCCUGCCUGGUUUUGACUCUGUUUGUCCCUGUGGUGGCAGGUGUUAACAGCCUCUAGUAUUGAACCCUUCCCCCCAAGUGAAACAGGCACAUGUGUAGGGAAGCCAUACUGUUUUUCAAAUAGUAAUGCCUUCCUGCCCAAAGCAGGAGCAGAAAGAACUGCUAUUCCAAAAGCGAGACUGAUGCAGGAUGUAGGUUUAUUUAGAUGAUAAAGAAACCGUGGCUAACACUGCACUUUUUCAACAUAACUUGAAGUUGUACAUCCAGGGAGUGAGAGAGAAUCCCAGGGGUUCAGUGAAGUCCCUGUGUUAGGUUCUGGAAGAUGCUGGUUUUCAUUUCAGCAUUCCGUGAUCAAGUCAUGCGUUCUCUCAGCCUCUUUAUUCACCUUAUGAAGGAAGCACUGGACUAGGUCAGGAAAUGCCUGCAAAAUAUUUUGAAAGCCUAUGGGGGGGGGGGAAUUAAACAGUUGGUACACAUUUAUCUCUAUGGUUGUCCUUUGACAAUUUCAUACUGUACAUAUGUAUUGUGACAACGCUUUCAUUCCGCCCCCCCCCCAUUUUGCUCCUUCCUUCCCUAUCACUCCUCCCCCAUUCCCCCUAGUCCCUUUUCUUGACUUUUCUUUUGAUUCUUGAUUUUUGGGUAUUCUUGUGGUCCAUUUAGUUGAAUCAGGCCCCUUCAAGUGAAGGUUGGAUUAGAAUUAUCCAUUGGACCCUGGUGGGGUCACCACAUGGUACACAACAGAAGGCAAUACUUCCUUCUCUCUGAAUCUGUUAGUAGAAAAUCUGUUAGCAGUGAGGGGUAGGGUCCCCUGAGCCGCACAAGGUCAUUUUUGAUGGUCAGAAGAUAAGAUGGAGCUCUAACAGAACUUAGUGGGAAGGGAUCAGAGAGUUGUGGCAUCCUGUGGUGUGCAAGGCAUCCUGGACCAACAUUUUUCUACUAGUUUUUCAAGUAUGUUAAAUAAAUUGUUUUUAACUAUCUGCACCUGUGUUAGCUUUUUGGUCACUGUGACUAAAUGCAUGAGAGAAACAACUGGAAGGAAGAAAGUUCCCUUCUGCUUCCUAGCUCCUGCUUAGAUGGAUUUCAGUCCAUGGCUGGCUGGGUUGGUUGCUUCUUAGCUCAGUGGUAAGUCAGCAGCAUCAUGGAGGAUGCUCACAGUGGAAGAAGGCUACUUAUAUGAUGGUAGUCAGGAUGCAGAGAGGCAAGCAGGAGCCUAGGCAGGAGCCAGGGCAGGAUGUCACCCACAAGGCUAUGCUUGAGUGACCUACAUUCUCCUGCUAGUCCCACCUCCUAACAGUUGAACAUCUCCCAAAAUAAUGUCACCACUUGGGAUCUGAGAGGCUAACACAUGAGGCCAAUUUCACAUUUAAACUGUAAAAAAAAAAUUAAUAUGUAAAUCAUUGCUUCAUGGUUUUAAUUAGCACGAUGUUUUCUAGGGGAAAUAGGUACCACACAAAUGGAAGAAGUGUCUUCUAUGUGCUUAUAUAACUUUUCUGAGUCAUUAUAACUUUUGACAGAUCACAUGAUGGAUGGCAAUGCCAUUCCUGGGUUUGAGAUGCCAAUGUGCUGGUC